UGACCGCUGGCGGCGUGCCUACUACAUGCAAGUCGAGCGAACAGACGCGGAGCUUGCUCCUCUGACGUUAGCGGCGGACGGGUGAGUAACACGUGGAUAACCUACCUAUAAGACUGGGAUAACUUCGGGAAACCGGAGCUAAUACCGGAUAAUAUAUUGAACCGCAUGGUUCCAUAGUGAAAGACGGUUUUGCUGUCACUUAUAGAUGGAUCCGCGCCGCAUUAGCUAGUUGGUAAGGUAACGGCUUACCAAGGCAACGAUGCGUAGCCGACCUGAGAGGGUGAUCGGCCACACUGGAACUGAGACACGGUCCAGACUCCUACGGGAGGCAGCAGUAGGGAAUCUUCCGCAAUGGGCGAAAGCCUGACGGAGCAACGCCGCGUGAGUGAUGAAGGUCUUCGGAUCGUAAAACUCUGUUAUUAGGGAAGAACAAAUGUGUAAGUAACUAUGCACGUCUUGACGGUACCUAAUCAGAAAGCCACGGCUAACUACGUG
rnacentral:rRNA from 1 species